GCCGAGCCCAGGCCUGCACCCUAGGCAGGCACUGCUCCGUGAUCCAGGAACCACCUCUCUCUACAGCUGGGAGUGAGCAGUCAGAGAGGGAGACAGCCUUGCCCGGUGCUACCCAGCAAGCUAGUCACCGAGUGGGCAGAGGGAGGAGCGGCCCUCACCGGAUGUCAAGCAGCCUGGGUCCCCAGUCCAGCUCUGCCUGUCCCUCGCAAUAACGCCUCAGAUGGGGAAACUGAAGCCCAAUGUCACGGAGGUAGGAAGGGGCAGACGUAGACUUGGAAGGAUUCUGUGGCCUGUUCGAGGUUCCGUGCAUGAGCCGUGCUCCGUGGAGAGCCAGGUCUACCGUUCCAGCCUUUGCUCUCCCAGGCCCCUGGCUGUCCAUGUCCCACACCACCCUGACACCUGAUACUUGACACCCGUGUCACCAACAGCUACAGUGCACCACGGCCUUGGAACACCGCACUCAGUGCUCUGCCUGGAUGAGCCCUGUACCCCCAUGACGACCCCACUGUGGACAUUCUUAUGUCCAUUUUACAGAUGACGAAACUGAGACGGGCGGAUGCAGUGUUGUGCACAAGCCACACAGCUGGAAACGUGGGCUGGGGACUGGAACCCAAUUACCCGCUUUGGCUCUAUAAUCCUCUUUUUAUUUUUAUUUAAUUUUUUUAUGAGAUGGAGUGUAGCUCUGUCGCACAGGCUGGAGUGCAGUGACACGAUCUCAGCUCACUGUAACCUCUGCCUCUCGGGUUCAACCCAUUCUUGUGUCUCAGCCUCCCAAGAAGCUGGGAUUACAGUUGUGUGUCACCACGCCUGGCUAAUUUUUUGUAUUUUUAGUAGAGAUGGGGUUUCCCCAUGUUGGUCAGGCUGGUCUCGGACUCCUGACCUCAGGUGAUCUGCCCACCUCUACCUCCCAAAGUGCUGGGAUUACAGGCAUGAGCCACCGUGCCCGGCCCUUUAAUCCUCUUUUUAAAACACCUUAGGAUAUGAUAUAUCCAGAAUAGGCAAAUCCAUAGACACAGAAUGCAGAUCCGUGUGCCAGUGGCUAGGGGGUGAAGAGGAACUGCUGAAUGAGCGGGCGUUUCCUCCUGGGGUGACCAGCAUGUUCUGCGACUGCAGAUGAUGGCUGUGCCACCUUGUGAGGGUACUAAAUGCCGCCGAAUGGUACACCUUAAACUGGUUGAUUUUAUGUUAUAUGAACUUCCCUUCCAUACAUUAUUUGAGGCUGGGCACGGUGGCUCACACCUGUUAUCCCAACACUUUUGGAGGCCGAGAUGGGUGGAUCAUCUGAGGUCAGGAGUUUGAGACCAGCCUGACCAAAAUGGUGAAACCCCGUCUCUACUAAAAAUACAAAAAAAUUAGCUGGGUGUGGUGGCGCAUGCCUGUAAUCCCAGCUACUCAGGAGGCUGAGGCAGGAUAAUCGCUUGAAUCCGGGAGGCAGAGAUUGCAGUGGGCCUAGAUCGUGCCAUUGUACUCCUGCCUAGGUGACAGAGCAAGACUCCGCCUCAAAAAUAAAAAAUAAAAAAUAAA
rnacentral:lncRNA from 1 species